GAUGAACGCUGGCGGCGUGCCUAAUACAUGCAAGUCGAGCGAACAGAUGAGAAGCUUGCUUCUCUGAUGUUAGCGGCGGACGGGUGAGUAACACGUGGGUAACCUACCUAUAAGACUGGGAUAACUCCGGGAAACCGGGGCUAAUACCGGAUAAUAUUUUGAACCGCAUGGUUCAAUAGUGAAAGACGGUUUCGGCUGUCACUUAUAGAUGGACCCGCGCCGUAUUAGCCAGUUGGUAAGGUAACGGCUUACCAAGGCGACGAUACGUAGCCGACCUGAGAGGGUGAUCGGCCACACUGGAACUGAGACACGGUCCAGACUCCUACGGGAGGCAGCAGUAGGGAAUCUUCCGCAAUGGGCGAAAGCCCGACGGAGCAACGCCGCGUGAGUGAUGAAGGUCUUCGGAUCGUAAAACUCUGUUGUUAGGGAAGAACAAAUUUGUUAGUAACUGAACAAGUCUUGACGGUACCUAACCAGAAAGCCACGGCUAACUACGUGCCAGCCGCCGCUGUAA
rnacentral:rRNA from 1 species